AAAAGAAGAUCACUGAGAAAAAUAGGGUUUGCUUGGUGGGUGGAUCUUGACCUUUCAAAAUAUAUACAUAUACAUAUAUAUAUAUAUCUUCUAUAGAUAUAUCUGUGUGUUCCAUCUGUUGCCUUCAUCCUCUCCUCUUUUUUUGAAACCCUAAAUAAUACACAACAACACUUGCAAGCCUCAUCCAAAAUCUGCCGAUACCGGCCUGAGAGAUAUGGAAAAUGAAAAUAUAUCUGGACGUCUAGUUUCUGAGGGUCUUCAGGAGCAACUAAUUGCAGGCGUAGGUGCUGUUAAUUUGAAUCUAAGUAUGACUACAACUGUUAAUGUCAAAGCAGAGGAAGAGAAGCUGGAGCUCAAAAAAAAGAUAUAAGCAAGCAGCGUGAGUAUCCAUCAACUUUGAAGCUGCGCUAUAAUCCAACAAGUUUGGAGAAUUCUAAUUUUCGUAUAGCUAAAUAUCGUUCAAUACUUAAGAAGCAUGAAAGAGAAAACCGCCAAAACAGCUCAAGAAAUUUGGGUGCUUGGGCUGAUUCAGAUUAAACUAGGGUUCACCCUGUUAUAUGCUUCCUUCAGAGUCUUCUAUCUGUGAGUCUUCUAUGAGGGGAGCGUCUACAGCUGGGACAAGAAGCCUUGUCCAAAUCUUGGACAUGAGGUGGCAUAAUCCUAAUGGCUAAAGAGGGGAAUGAUUCUAGCAUCAGGAUUAGUAGCGGGCUGAAGUGCGAAAUGAUUAAAGGUCCAGAUCUAUUGUCCCAUAUCUGGACAAAUUGUCCCAUGUCUAGAGUUUUCCUUCUAUGAGUCUGCUAUCUGCGAGUUCUAUCUGUCAAAGUCUAUCUAUGAGUGAAACUGCUUCUCAUCUACCGGUAGAUAUGGGUUCCGCUUUUACACCCCUAUGUGUCAUGUAUAUCACCACAAAUUCCAUCCUCACCCUACCCCACCAGGAAAAAUAGGGGGUCCGCUUUAAAAUUGAGCCACUACAAAAUUGACACAUAGUGGUGUAUUUUUCACACCGGUAGAUAAGAAGCAUUUUCGAUCUGCGAGUUCUAUCUGUCAAGUCUUCUAUCUGUGAGUUCUGGACAGGAAUUGACUCGAUGUAUCUGUCCUUCUUGUUAGUGUAUUUACCUGUUUCCUAAUUGUUACUUAGUACUAUUAAUUCCAGACCAUUAUGUCCCUACAAUUGUCUUCAACUACUUAGUUAUAUUAUGUGAUGUUCAUUUACA